CAGUAGCCGCGGGAAUACGGAGGGUGCAAGCGUUAUCCGGAUUUAUUGGGUUUAAAGGGUCCGUAGGCGGAUCUGUAAGUCAGUGGUGAAAUCUCACAGCUUAACUGUGAAACUGCCAUUGAUACUGCAGGUCUUGAGUAAAUUUGAAGUGGCUGGAAUAAGUAGUGUAGCGGUGAAAUGCAUAGAUAUUACUUAGAACACCAAUUGCGAAGGCAGCUUACUAAGGUAUGAUUGACGCUGAUGCACGAAAGCGUGGGGAUCAAACAGGAUUAGAUACCCCAGUAGUCCCUGUCUCUUAUAU
rnacentral:rRNA from 1 species